rnacentral:rRNA from 1 species
GAUGAACGCUAGCGGCAGGCUUAAUACAUGCAAGUCAAGGGGGUAGCAAUACAACCGGCGCACGGGUGAGUAACACGUACACAACAUACCAUAUACUGAGGUAUAGCUUCGGGAAACUGAAGGUAAUCCCUCAUAGUAUUGUGAAAGGGCAUCUUUUUACAAUUAAAGUUUCGACGGUAUAUGAUUGGUGUGCGUUUGAUUAGCUAGUUGGUAGGGUAACGGCCUACCAAGGCAACGAUCAAUAGCUGGCGUGAGAGCGCGACCAGCCACACUGGAACUGAGACACGGUCCAGACUCCUACGGGAGGCAGCAGUAGGGAAUAUUGGACAAUGGGCGAAAGCCUGAUCCAGCCAUGCCGCGUGAUAGAUGAAGGCCCUCUGGGUUGUAAAUAUCUUUUAUCUGGGAAGAAACACUUCUAUUCUUAGAAGCUUGACGGUACCAGAGGAAUAAGCACCGGCUAACUCCGUGCCAGCAGCCGCGGU